CUUCACCCAACAAGAUCCUACCACCGCCGUGUUCAUAACAUCACACUUUACUUUUAUACGACAAGUGCAAAGACAGUGCUAGAUUACUCUAACACUCGAUCUAUUAAACCUCCUCCACCUUGAGCGUCAAGUCAUCCGACAUAGAAGUAGAAGAAGGUAAAGUUUAUACCGCAAUCACGAUCUGAGUUAUAGAAAUCAAAGGGUCGAUGUUGGACGACUUGUCCUCAAGAAGAUAUUAGAACGGAAAAUGGGUGAGAAAAUGUUCAUUUUUCACUUUUGAGAUAGAAUUUUAUUUUUCAAAAUGUACAUUUUAUUGUAACAUGUAUAAUAUAUGAAUAUGCAUAUCCAAAUUAAAUUAUACGAACGCUAAUGCGUAAGACAGUUAUCAACCACUCGUACUUCUCGUUAUGCUCAAGAGAACUA